rnacentral:lncRNA from 1 species
AUACCAAAUGAGCAACACACAUCGAUGUAUACCAGGACAAGUAUUUCAGUGAUCCUCUCUCCAUGUCCUAUGAAGGAUAAUUUGAUCAUUUUUUUUUAAAGGCAAAAUUCACAAACUGGAUAUAACUCAGAAUUUAAUUAGCCAAGUAUCCCAUCCUUUUCCAAUUUGCUUAUUAUAUCCUAUCCAAUAUGAUCAAGUCUAAGGAGCCACAUAUACCUAUAGUUUAUCUCAUCUCUUGAUCCCU